GACGAACGCUGGCGGCGUGCUUAACACAUGCAAGUCGAGCGGUAAGGCCCUUUCGGGGGUACGACGAGCGGCGAACGGGUGAGUAACACGUGGGUGACCUGCCCUCAGCUCUGGGAUAAGCCUGGAAAACCGGGUACUAAUACCGGAUAUGACUCCAUGACGCAUGCUGUGGGGUGGAAAGCCUUGUGCGGCUGAGGAUGGGCCCGCGGCCUAUCAGCUUGUUGGG
rnacentral:rRNA from 1 species